UACGUAGGUGGCGAGCGUUGUCCGGAUUUACUGGGCGUAAAGGGAGCGUAGGCGGACUUUUAAGUGGGAUGUGAAAUACUCGGGCUCAACUUGAGUGCUGCAUUUCAAACUGGAAGUCUAGAGUGCAGGAGAGGAGAAUGGAAUUCCUAGUGUAGCGGUGAAAUGCGUAGAGAUUAGGAAGAACACCAGUGGCGAAGGCGAUUCUCUGGACUGUGACUGACGCUGAGGCUCGAAAGCGUGGGGAGCAAACAGG
rnacentral:rRNA from 1 species